rnacentral:lncRNA from 1 species
AAUGACCUCCUAUAAACGAGGAAAAUGUUUGAUUGGGCGGUUCAAACGACGCUACGGGUCACCGCCCUAUGCUUGCGUCUGUGGUUACGCAAAUUUGAUGUCAGGAGAUUUGAAUAAAAACAUAUUGGAAUAGUUUUGCAUUAUAGGGCACAUUCUCUACGUAUC